CUUAUUCAGUAAGUGAGGUGUUCACAUUUUGUACAUGACUGAGAUGUGAAGCCUUACUCUGAAAUGCCUUGCAGUCACAAUAUUCUGGAAUAGGGACCUGCUUUAAACACUUCAACUCACUGUAUUUGUUCUCAUCAACAGAGAACUUGUAGUUACCAUUUUUGGAAUUUCUGCACUCCCGAGCUAUAGUACCCAAAAGAGUUACAUUGGAUUUCCCUGAAACUAUACAAGAGGCAGUGGCAGAUGAUAUUGCAUUAUCUACUUUAAAAGAAGGUCAGUGAUGGCCUAAGGAACUUGAGCCUACGGUACUUGAAUACUCGUUCUCCAGGGAAGCUGAGACAGGUCAUCUUAUCUGGUGGCAGUCGUCUGCAGGAUCGCUGUCACUCAUUCUAGUACCUUUAACAGACGUUUGUUAAGCAACAUGUGCUUCUGUGGCCCUGCGGUAAAUGCUGCCCUUAAAAAAGGGAGAUGAGAAAGUUUUGAAACCACUAGAGGACGAUAUAACACAACACAAUCCACCGUGAAUUUGGGCAGUGGAUGCUACAAAAAGCCAGGAAAGAGAAGGGGAGCGCUGCGCCCUGGAACGACUGGGGAAGAAGGCAGGCAUCAGAUGAGUGUCUGCAUGAUUUUUGAUAAUGGCUAUGAGGAACAAAUAUUGCAGAUGGAUCAAACCAAAGAAUCACACUCAAAGCUGGAUUAAAGAGUCAUGAAAAGAAGGGAGAGGAAGAAAUGAAGAAACAAGAGAAUUAUAGAAGUAAAAUAUGCAGUUUAUUAUUGAAAAGAAAUCUGCCAUUUGAAUAAAGACCAAACAGCUUUUCAUU
rnacentral:lncRNA from 1 species